rnacentral:lncRNA from 1 species
UUAUCAUUCAAUCUGAAGAUAUGAGAUGAUUGUGGGGAAGAGCCUCAAUUUAUAACAAUACUAGUAAAGCACCCGUGCGUUGUGGUAGAUUGAUUUUGCAAAAAUAAAUAAAUAAAUAAAAUUAGAAAAAAGCUUUAAAUAUCUCUUUUGUGGUUUAGUAUUUUCUCAUUUUAGUACUCUGUAUUUUAAAAUAUAUCAUUUAAGUACCCUGCGGUUUUAUUUUUGUUCUUUUUAUCAACACUUCCGUUAACUCUCCAUGAAAAUAUAUAAAAAAAACUUCAGAUACUCCUGUGGUUUAUCGCAUAUUCACUUUAUACCUUAUGUUUUACAAAAUUUUUCUUUAAAACUCUGUAGUUUUAACUUUCUCACUGAUUUAACAGAAAAAUAAGCAAAUGGAAUAACAGUAAGAGAAAAACAAAACCAUGGGGUGUUAAAGUGAUAUAGUUUAA